GAUGAACGCUGGCGGCGUGCUUAAUACAUGCAAGUCGAGCGAACAGGCGCGACGUUUGUUUCUUUGUUGUUAGCGGCGGACGGGUGAGACACACGUGGAUAACCCACCUAUCUGACUGGGAUCACUUCGAGAAACCGGAGCUAAUCCCGUAUGAUCUUUUGCACCGCAUGGUUCAAUAGUAAAUGACGGUCUUUCGGUCACUUCUCGAUGGAUCCGCGCUGCUUUAGCUGGUUGGUAAGGUAACGGCUUACCAAGGCAACGAUGCAUGACCGACCUGAGAGGGGGGUCGGCCACACUGGAACGGAGACACGGUCCAGACGCCUACGGGAGGGAGCAGUAGGGAAGCUGCCGCAAUGGGCGGGAACCUGACGGAACAACGCCGCGUGAGUGAUGAAGGUCUUCGGAGCGGAAAACUCUGUUAUUAGGGAAGAACAUAUGUGUAAGUAACUGUGCACAUCUUGACGGUACCUAAUCAGAAAGCCACGGCUAACUACGUG
rnacentral:rRNA from 1 species